AGCGAACGCUGGCGGCGCGCCUAAUACAUGCAAGUCGAGCGAGAAGACGUAGCAAUACGUUUGUAAAGCGGCGAACGGGUGAGGAAUACAUGGGUAACCUACCCUCGAGUGGGGAAUAACUAGCCGAAAGGUUAGCUAAUACCGCGUACGCUCCUUGGACUUCGGUUCAGGGAGGAAAGCGAUACCGUGGGUAUCGCGCUCUUGGAUGGGCUCAUGUCCUAUCAGCUUGUUGGUGAGGUAACGGCUCACCAAGGCUUCGACGGGUAGCUGGUCUGAGAGGACGAUCAGCCACACUGGCACUGCGACACGGGCCAGACUCCUACGGGAGGCAGCAGUAAGGAAUAUUGCGCAAUGGGCGAAAGCCUGACGCAGCGACGCCGCGUGGGGGA
rnacentral:rRNA from 1 species